rnacentral:rRNA from 1 species
AACGGGUGAGUAACGCGUGGGUAACCUACCUUUCAGCGGGGGAUAACUAUUGGAAACGAUAGCUAAUACCGCAUAACAAUGUUGGAUGCAUAUUCGACAUUUGAAAGUAUCAAUUGGUACACUGAGAGAUGGACCCGCGUUGUAUUAGCUAGUUGGUAGUGUAAUGGACUACCAAGGCGAUGAUACAUAGCCGACCUGAGAGGGUGAUCGGCCACAUUGGGACUGAGACACGGCCCAAACUCCUACGGGAGGCAGCAGUAGGGAAUCUUCGGCAAUGGACGAAAGUCUGACCGAGCAACGCCGCGUGAGUGAAGAAGGUUUUCGGAUCGUAAAACUCUGUUGUUAGAGAAGAACGUUGCAUAGAGUGGAAAAUUAUGCAAGUGACGGUAUCUAACCAGAAAGGGACGGCUAACUACGUGCCAGCAGCCGCGGUAAUACGUAGGUCCCGAGCGUUGUCCGGAUUUAUUGGGCGUAAAGCGAGCGCAGGUGGUUUAAUAAGUCUGAUGUAAAAGGCAGUGGCUCAACCAUUGUGUGCAUUGGAAACUGUUAGACUUGAGUGCAGUAGAGGAGAGUGGAAUUCCAUGUGUAGCGGUGAAAUGCGUAGAUAUAUGGAGGAACACCGGUGGCGAAAGCGGCUCUCUGGACUGUCACUGACACUGAGGCUCGAAAGCGUGGGUAGCAAACAGGAUUAGAUACCCUGGUAGUCCACGCCGUAAACGAUGAGUGCUAGUUGUUUGGGGCUAUCCAGCCCUAAGUGACGCAGCAAACGCAUUAAGCACUCCGCCUGGGGAGUACGACCGCAAGGUUGAAACUCAAAGGAAUUGACGGGGGCCCGCACAAGCGGUGGAGCAUGUGGUUUAAUUCGAAGCAACGCGAAGAACCUUACCAGGUCUUGACAUACUCGUGCUAU